rnacentral:lncRNA from 1 species
GAGAGAUCUUCUUGCAAAUAAUGUCUCAGGCAAAGACAUAGCAUCUUGGCUAUCUGCUAAAAUAAAAAAAUACCUAGACUCUUGGUGGAAAUUGAGUGUCAAGCUGCAAAACCUCAAAUGGCAGAUUAUCAUCAUUUAAGUCUAUCCAGAAUAGGAGGAGAGGGUUGAGACCAUUUUUGUGAUAUUCUAGAAUAAAGCGGCAUUUUUUCAAAAUGAUUUUGCCUUUAAGGGAGCUUGUAAUAACAGCUUAAGAAAUCUCUCUUUGUGCUUCAAAAUCAUGCAUUGUCUGCCCUCUGCUAGGACAACCAUAAGAGUUCAUUGAGAGGACAAAUUUUCUAUCUCAUUAGUUUUUUUUUUAAGGUAAACCUUACUAACCCCUCAAACCCUUGACCUUUAAAGACAGUAUUUUGUGUAAGCUCUGUAUUUCUCCUGUUAUGAUGACCUUUACACAUGCUCUCCUGCUCUCUCCAUCU